GAUAACAAAGCCGUUUGUAUGCAUUUGCAUAGCGCAUUCGUAAUGCGCAGGUCGUGGGUUCGAGUCCCAUUCCCAGCUCCA
rnacentral:tRNA from 1 species